UGGGGAAUAUUGGACAAUGGGCGAAAGCCUGAUCCAGCCAUGCCGCGUGUGUGAAGAAGGUCUUCGGAUUGUAAAGCACUUUAAGUUGGGAGGAAGGGCAUUAACCUAAUACGUUAGUGUUUUGACGUUACCGACAGAAUAAGCACCGGCUAACUCUGUGCCAGCAGCCGCGGUAAUACAGAGGGUGCAAGCGUUAAUCGGAAUUACUGGGCGUAAAGCGCGCGUAGGUGGUUUGUUAAGUUGGAUGUGAAAUCCCCGGGCUCAACCUGGGAACUGCAUUCAAAACUGACUGGCUAGAGUAUGGUAGAGGGUGGUGGAAUU
rnacentral:rRNA from 1 species